rnacentral:rRNA from 1 species
GACGAACGCUGGCGGCGUGCUUAACACAUGCAAGUCACGGGGGCCCGCAAGGGUAACCGGCGAACGGGUGCGUAACACGUGAGCAACCUGCCGAUCUGAGGGGGAUAGCCGGCCCAACGGCCGGGUAAUACCGCAUACGUUCUUUUGGUCUCAUGACCGAGAGAAGAAACCUCCGGGGCAGAUCGAGGGGCUCGCGGCCUAUCAGCUAGUUGGUGUGGGUAACGGCCCACCAAGGCGACGACGGGGUAGCUGGCUGAGAGGAUGGCCAGCCACAUUGGGACUGAGAGACGGCCCAGACUCCUACGGGAGGCAGCAGUGGGGAAUCUUGCGCAAUGGCCGAAAGGCUGACGCAGCGACGCCGCGUGUGGGAUGAAGCAUUUCGGUGUGUAAACCACUGUUGCCCGGGACGAACAGCUCUUUUCGAGGAGCCUGACGGUACCGGGUGAGGAAGCACCGGCUAACUCCGUGCCAGCCGCCGCGGUAAU